rnacentral:rRNA from 1 species
UACGGGGGGGGCAAGCGUUGUUCGGAAUUACUGGGCGUAAAGGGCUCGUAGGUGGCCAUCUAAGUCAGACGUGAAAUCCCUCGGCUUAACCGGGGAACUGCGUCUGAUACUGGAUGGCUUGAGUUUGGGAGAGGGACGCGGAAUUCCAGGUGUAGCGGUGAAAUGCGUAGAUAUCUGGAGGAACACCGGUGGCGAAGGCGGCAUCCUGGACCGACACUGACACUGAGGAGCGAAAGCCAGGGGAGCAAACGGG